rnacentral:rRNA from 1 species
CCUACGGGAGGCAGCAGUGAGGAAUAUUGGUCAAUGGACGCAAGUCUGAACCAGCCAUGCCGCGUGCAGGAAGACGGCCCUAUGAGUUGUAAACUGCUUUUGUACGCGGGUAAACGCAGAUACGCGUAUCUGUUUGAAAGUAUCGUAUGAAUAAGGAUCGGCUAAUUCCGUGCCAGCAGCCGCGGUAAUACGGAGGAUUCUAGCGUUAUCCGGAUUUAUUGGGUUUAAAGGGUGCGUAGGCGGUCGUAUAAGUUAGAGGUGAAAUUCUGAGGCUCAACUUCGGUAUUGCGUCUGAUAGUGUGCAGCUAGAGAGUAGUGGCGGUAGGCGGAAUGAGUGGUGUAGCGGUGGAAUGCUUAGAGAUCAUACAGAACACCGAUUGCGAAGGCAGCUUACCGUGCUACUUCUGACGUUGAGGCACGAAAGCGUGGGGAGCAAACAGGAUGAGAUACCCCAGUAGUA